rnacentral:rRNA from 1 species
AGCAUGAAAGUUUGCUUGCAAACUUUUGAUGGCGACCGGCGCACGGGUGAGUAACACGUAUCCAACCUGCCUCAUACUCGGGGAUAGCCUUUCGAAAGAAAGAUUAAUACCCGAUGUCAUAGUCCUACCGCAUGAUGGGAUUAUUAAAGAAUUUCGGUAUGGGAUGGGGAUGCGUUCCAUUAGUUAGUUGGCGGGGUAACGGCCCACCAAGACAACGAUGGAUAGGGGUUCUGAGAGGAAGGUCCCCCACAUUGGAACUGAGACACGGUCCAAACUCCUACGGGAGGCAGCAGUGAGGAAUAUUGGUCAAUGGACGAGGGUCUGAACCAGCCAAGUAGCGUGAAGGAUGACUGCCCUACGGGUUGUAAACUUCUUUUAUAUGGGAAUAAAAUGUUCCACGUGUGGGAUUUUGUAUGUACCAUAUGAAUAAGGAUCGGCUAACUCCGUGCCAGCAGCCGCGGUAAUACGGAGGAUCCGAGCGUUAUCCGGAUUUAUUGGGUUUAAAGGGAGCGUAGGUGGAUUGUUAAGUCAGUUGUGAAAGUUUGCGGCUCAACCGUAAAAUUGCAGUUGAAACUGGCAGUCUUGAGUACAGUAGAGGUGGGCGGAAUUCGUGGUGUAGCGGUGAAAUGCUUAGAUAUCACGAAGAACUCCGAUUGCGAAGGCAGCUCACUGGACUGCAACUGACACUGAGGCUCGAAAGUGUGGGUAUCAAACA